rnacentral:rRNA from 1 species
UCUUUCUUUGCUGGCGACCGGCGCACGGGUGAGUAACACGUAUCCAACCUGCCCUUUACUCGGGGAUAGCCUUUCGAAAGAAAGAUUAAUACCCGAUAGUAUAAUGAUUCCGCAUGGUUUCAUUAUUAAAGGAUUCCGGUAAAGGAUGGGGAUGCGUUCCAUUAGGUUGUUGGUGAGGUAACGGCUCACCAAGCCUUCGAUGGAUAGGGGUUCUGAGAGGAAGGCCCCCCACAUUGGAACUGAGACACGGUCCAA